rnacentral:rRNA from 1 species
GGAGUCUGGGCCGUAUCUCAGUCCCAAUGUGGCCGUUCAACCUCUCAGUCCGGCUACUGAUCGCAGUCUUGGUAGGCCGUUACCCCACCAACUAACUAAUCAGAUAUGAGCCCAUCUUUCAGCGGAUUGCUCCUUUGGUAUCAAAAGGAUGCCCCCUCGAUACAUUAUGCGGUAUUAGCAGUCGUUUCCAACUGUUGUCCCCCUCUGAAAGGCAGGUUGCUCAUACAUUACUCACCCGUCCGCCACUAAGUCAAAUUCACCUUCGACGAAUCUCCGGUAAAAGUGCUUCGUUCGACUUGCAUGUGUUAGGCACGCCGCCAGCGUUCAUC